AUUGAACGCUGGCGGCAGGCCUAACACAUGCAAGUCGAGCGAGCGGCGGACGGGUGAGUAAUGUAUGGGGAUCUGCCCGAUAGAGGGGGAUAACUACUGGAAACGGUGGCUAAUAACGCAUACUAUCGGAUGAACCCAUAUGGGAAUAGCUCGUAGGUGGGGUAAAGGCACACCUAGGCGACGAGCUCUAGCUUGUCUGAGAGGAUGAACAGCCACACUGGUACUGAGACACGGCCCAGACUCCUACGGGAGGCAGCAUUGGGGAAUAUUCCACAAGGUGCGCAAGCCUGAUGCAGCCAUGCCGCGUUUAGGAAGAAGGCCUUAGGGUUGUAAAGUACUUUAAGCGGGGAGGCGUUACUCGCAGAAGAAGCACCGGCUAACUCCGUGCCAGCAGCCGCGGUAAUUC
rnacentral:rRNA from 1 species